UACGUAGGUGGCAAGCGUUAUCCGGAUUUAUUGGGCGUAAAGAGAACGCAGGCGGUCUUUUAAGUCUGAUGUGAAAGCCUUCGGCUUAACCGGAGUAGUGCAUUGGAAACUGGGAGACUUGAGUGCAGAAGAGGAGAGUGGAACUCCAUGUGUAGCGGUGAAAUGCGUAGAUAUAUGGAAGAACACCAGUGGCGAAAGCGGCUCUCUGGUCUGCAACUGACGCUGAGGUUCGAAAGCGUGGGUAGCAAACAGG
rnacentral:rRNA from 1 species